GUUUUAAUAGUUUAACAAAAACAGUGGUCUUGUAUACCAAAAAUAAGUAUAUUACUUUUAAAACU
rnacentral:tRNA from 1 species